CAUGCCCUUUUAAGAGCUUGUCCGGUGACUGAUUCCAUCGCUGCUCUGCUUUGCUUGCUUCCUUUGAGAAUAACCAGUGUCCAAGAAAUGCCCUCCUAAGUUUGAAAAGAACUGUUUCCCCCCUAUAUUCUCCUCCCAGAAAGACCAAAAAACCUCUACCUUUUAUUCCUUAACCUCUCUUUUCCUUCUUCGAGAAACAGAGCACCAGCUAUAGUUUCCUCAUAGUAAAGCUUGAACUGCCCAAAAGACAGGGAUAGGAAGGGAACUUUUAAAAGCCAAUGACUUCCAACGGAGAGCUUAAUCUGGAGGAGAAUCCGAAGGAUUUGCCGAGUUCUGAACGAGGGGAAAAUAGAAGAAACUCAGAAGUAAAGCCUGAUGAUAGUAUCUGCGAUGGCUCCAAUCAAAACUCCCCUCGAGGUGUGCUAGAGAUCCCAAUAUCUAGUGCAGAUUCUGAUGGCAGCAGCAGCAGCGGCAGUGAACCUUCAGCAGUGGACCGAACAAUUGCUCCAGAUGGAUUAGUGUUGGAGUCCCACAGCUUGCAAUGGAGGACUUUGAUUGGUGGCUUGAUACUGAGAAAGAAGAGGACCAUGAUGAGGCUAUCAACAUUUCCACCGGCGACAGCAGGCUUGGGCUUGCGCAGGACUCCAAGUGAGAAGGAUAGGAUUGAGAGUGUGGAAAUUACAGCAGAGACUGGAAGGGGAAGACCCUCUUGGAGGAGCUUUGAUCACCAGGAGCUUGCAGCUGCCACUAAUAACUUCAGUUCAGAUAAAUUGAUUGGGAAAGGAGGACAUGCAGAGGUGUAUAAAGGAUGCCUUGCUGAUGGACAGCUUGUGGCAGUGAAGAGGCUGACAAAGAAAGACAAUGAGGAGGAAAGAAUUGGAGAUUUCUUAUCAGAACUUGGAAUAAUUGCCCAUGUUAAUCACCCUAAUGCUGCACAGCUGCUGGGGUUCAGUGUAGAAGGUGGCUUGCACCUCGUUCUCCGGUUUUCUCCACAUGGAAGCCUAGCGUCUGAGCUUCAUGGUUCGAAGGAAGGCCUUGAAUGGAAGGUAAGGUUUAAGAUUGCUUUAGGCAUCGCAGAAGGCCUACUCUAUCUCCAUGAAGGAUGCCAGCGGCGGAUAAUCCAUAGAGACAUCAAGGCCUCCAACAUACUCUUAACUGAAGACUUCCAGCCUCAGAUCUCUGAUUUUGGACUUGCAAAGUGGCUGCCAGACAAAUGGACUCACCACAUUGUGUUCCCCAUUGAAGGGACUUUCGGAUAUCUGGCGCCUGAAUACUUCAUGCAUGGGGUAGUGAAUGAGAAGAUUGAUGUGUUUGCUUUCGGGGUGCUGCUGCUUGAGCUCAUAACAGGACGGCGGGCAGUUGACUCUUCUCGACAGAGCUUAGUGAUAUGGAGACCUGAAACUUACUACUUGCCAUUCAAUGAGAAGCAAAGCCACUUCUUGAUGCAAACAAUGUAAAACAACUUGCUGACCCUUCUCUUGGAGAUGCUUAUGAUGCCGAGGAAAUGAGACGUGCAUUAUUAGUAGCUUCUAUGUGCAUUCAUCACCUCUCGACCUCACGACCUGAUAUGAAUUGGGUGGUCAGGCUUUUAAAGGGUGAGGAAGGAUCUGCAGAACUCAUGGGAAGAGAGUUGAGGCCUAAACUUGCUAGGCCACCACAGUUUGAUGCCUGUGAUUCAGAGGACUACACUUGCUCGAGGUAUCUCAAUGAUCUCCAUCGGCAUAAGCAACUUGCUUUGGAGCAAUGAAUAUUGUGUCACCUGAAGAGUACUUUUGUAUAUUGAGAUCCUUUCAUGGUCCCAACUGUAUGAAUGGAUGGAGGGACAAUACUCAUCAACUACCUCUUGUAGUUGUCUUCCAGAUCUAAGACUUAAAAGUGUUUCAUCUGCUUUAAUGUGUCCCA